GUGUUCCAGGACCCUCUGUUGGCAUCAAAAGGUGGCAUCUAAAGAAAUUAUUGACAAGUCAAGAAUGUCAUACAUCACUGCCAAGUACACACUCUAUGCACUUCUGAAUAACAUGGUUACCAUUCUGAUCACGAACACAUUUCAUGACUGAACCAUCAAGCUCUUCCACCAUCUGAGUCUGCUUAUCCACAUCAAUUACCUCCAACGCCUGUGAUCACUUCUACAGUGGUAUUUUUCAAGGAAUAAUAAUCAGGCUUUGGACUGGCUAUGGAAUUGAAUAAAUUAAACGAGUUCGUGUUCAGGUUCAGUAAUAUU